rnacentral:rRNA from 1 species
AACGAACGCUGGCGGCAGGCCCUAACACAUGCAAGUUGAACGUGAAACCACUUCGGUGGUGGAAAGUAGCGCACGGGUGAGUAACACGUGGGAAUUUACACUUCAGUAAGGAACAACAGUUGGAAACGACUGCUAAUACCUUAUAAUGACUCCGGUCCAAAGAUUUAUCGCUGAAGGAUAAGCCCGCGUCUGAUUAGCUAGUUGGUGAGGUAAAGGCUCACCAAGGCGACGAUCAGUAGGGGGUUUGAGAGGAUGAUCCCCCACACUGGAACUGAGACACGGCCCAGACUCCUACGGGAGGCAGCAGUCGGGAAUAUUGGACAAUGGGCGCAAGCCUGAUCCAGCCAUGCCGCGUGUGUGAAGAAGGCCUUAGGGUUGUAAAGCUCUUUCGCCAGGGAUGAUAAUGACAGUACCUGGUAAAGAAACCCCGGCUAACUCCGUG